UACGUAGGGUGCGAGCGUUGUCCGGAAUUAUUGGGCGUAAAGGGCUCGUAGGCGGUUUGUCGCGUCGGGAGUGAAAACCAUGAGCUUAACUCAUGGCUUGCUUUCGAUACGGGCAGACUAGAGGCAUGCAGGGGAGAACGGAAUUCCUGGUGUAGCGGUGAAAUGCGCAGAUAUCAGGAGGAACACCGGUGGCGAAGGCGGUUCUCUGGGCAUGUCCUGACGCUGAGGAGCGAAAGUGUGGGGAGCGAACAGG
rnacentral:rRNA from 1 species